UGCAAUCGCACUCCCCUUCUCCUCCCCUUUCCCCCCUUUUUUUCCCCCCGUAAAUGUGGAAGGCUUUGCCUUGUGCUGCCGCGCCUCCGAUCGGCAACCUCUUCCCCCGUUGUUGGAUCAGCUGCCUGCCCGCCCGCCUGCCUUUUGAAUUUUUUUAAAUUCCAUAAUGACACCUGCAAUUUCGCCCUAAAAUAGUUGAUUGAAUGCGAUUGUGUCAGGAAAGGACUCUUGCACCCGAAGCUCCCGCGAUUGUAAACAUCGACAGCCGCCUGCCUCUCGGGGCUUACUAUGCUGGAGAGCCGUAAAGCCAUUGCACCGAGCCGACGGAAGGCUGAACUCACGGGAAUCAAAUGGCGUAGGUACAAUUUUGGAGGGCAUGGGGACUGUGGACCCAUAAUUUCAGCCCCAGCCCAAGAUGAUCCAAUUCUGUUAAGUUUCAUCCGCUGUCUGCAAGCUAACCUGCUUUGUGUAUGGCGUCGUGAUGUCAAACCAGAUUGCAAAGAGUUAUGGAUAUUCUGGUGGGGAGAUGAACCCAACCUAGUGGGUGUAAUACAUCAUGAACUGCAGG
rnacentral:lncRNA from 10 species